UACGGAGGGUGCAAGCGUUAUCCGGAUUCACUGGGUUUAAAGGGUGCGUAGGAGGGCAGGUAAGUCAGUGGUGAAAUCUCCAAGCUUAACUUGGAAACUGCCGUUGAUACUAUCUGUCUUGAAUAUUGUGGAGGUGAGCGGAAUAUGUCAUGUAGCGGUGAAAUGCUUAGAUAUGACAUAGAACACCAAUUGCGAAGGCAGCUUACUACACAGUUAUUGACACUGAGGCACGAAAGCGUGGGGAUCAAACAGG
rnacentral:rRNA from 1 species